rnacentral:rRNA from 1 species
GUGAGUAGUUCAGAGUUUGAUCCUGGCUCAGGACGAACGCUGGCGGCGUGCCUAACACAUGCAAGUCGAACGGACCAAAGCUCUUCGGGGCUGCGGUUAGUGGCGAACGGGUGAGUAACGCGUGAGCAACCUGCCUCUCAGUGGGGGACAACAGUUAGAAGUGACUGCUAAUACCGCAUAUAAUACACGGACCGCAUGAUCUGUGUAUGAAAGAUUUAUCGCUGAGAGAUGGGCUCGCGUCUGAUUAGAUAGUUGGCGGGGUAACGGCCCACCAAGUCGACGAUCAGUAGCCGGUCUGAGAGGAUGAACGGCCACAUUGGGACUGAGAUACGGCCCAG